rnacentral:rRNA from 1 species
GACGAACGCUGGCGGCGUGCUUAACACAUGCAAGUCGAACGAUGAAGCUGGAGCUUGCUCCGGUGGAUUAGUGGCGAACGGGUGAGUAACACGUGAGCAAUCUGCCCUUGACUCUGGGAUAACUGCGGGAAACUGUAGCUGAUACCGGAUACGAGGCUCGAAGGCAUCUUCGGGUCUGGAAAGAAUUUCGGUCAAGGAUGAGCUCGCGGCCUAUCAGCUUGUUGGUGAGGUAAUGGCUCACCAAGGCGACGACGGGUAGCCGGCCUGAGAGGGUGACCGGCCACACUGGGACUGAGACACGGCCCAGACUCCUACGGGAGGCAGCAGUGGGGAAUAUUGCACAAUGGGCGAAAGCCUGAUGCAGCAACGCCGCGUGAGGGAUGAAGGCCUUCGGGUUGUAAACCUCUUUUAGCAGGGAAGAAGCGAAAGUGACGGUACCUGCAGAAAAAGCACCGGCUAACUACGUGCCAGCAGCCGCAGUAA